rnacentral:rRNA from 1 species
GAGUUUGAUCAUGGCUCAGAUUGAACGCUGGCGGCAGGCCUAACACAUGCAAGUCGAGCGGAGUAGCAAUACUUAGUGGCAGACGGGUGAGUAACAUGUAGGUAUCUUCCCUUUGGUGAGGAAUAACACGAGGAAACUUGUGCUAAUACCUCAUAAGUCUUUACAGAGAAAGCUUUAUGCGCCGAAGGAUGAGCCUGCACUUGAUUAGUUUGUUGGUGGGGUAAUGGCCUACCAAGACUGUGAUCUAUAGCUGAUCUGAGAGGAUGAUCAGCCACAUUGGGACUGAGACACGGCGCAAACUCCUACGGGAGGCAGCAGUAGGGAAUAUUGCACAAUGGAGGAAACUCUGAUGCAGCGAUGCCGCGUGAGUGAAGAAGGCCUUUGGGUUGUAAAGCUCUUUCGUCGGGGGAGAAAAUGACUGUACCCGAAUAAGAAGGUCCGGCUAACUUCGUGCCAGCAGCCGCGGUAAUACGAAGGGACCUAGCGUAGUUCGGAAUUACUGGGCUUAAAGAGUUCGUAGGUGGUUAAAAAAGUUGGUGGUGAAAUCCCAGAGCUUAACUCUGGAACUGCCAUCAAAACUUUUUAGCUAGAGUAUGAUAGAGGAAAGCAGAAUUUCUAGUGUAGAGGUGAAAUUCGUAGAUAUUAGAAAGAAUACCAAUUGCGAAGGCAGCUUUCUGGAUCAUUACUGACGCUGAGGAACGAAAGCAUGGGUGGCGAAGAGGAUUAGAUACCCUCGUAGUCCAUGCCGUAAACGAUGUGUGUUAGACGUUGGAAAUUUAUUUUCAGCGUCGCAGCGAAAGCAUUAAACACACCGCCUGGGGAGUACGACCGCAAGGUUAAAACUCAAAUGAAUUGACGGGGACCCGCACAAGUAGUGGGAGCAUGUGGUUUAAUUCGAAGAUACGCGCAGAACCUUACCAACACUUGACAUGUUCGUCGCGACUCUAAGAGAUUAGAGUUUUCGGUUCGGCCGGACGAAACACAGGUGCUGCAUGGCUGUCGUCAGCUCGUGCCGUGAGAUGUUGGGUUAAGUCCCGCAACGAGCGCAACCCUCACUUUUAGUUGCCAUCAUUUAGUUGGGCACUCUGAAAGAACUGCCAGUGAUAAGCUGGAGGAAGGUGGGGAUGACGUCAAGUCCUCAUGGCCCUUACGUGUUGGGCUACACACGUGCUACAAUGGCAUUUACAAUAGGAAGCAGGAUGGCGACAUCAAGCAAAUCCUAAAAAGAUGCCUCAGUUCGGAUUGUACUCUGCAACUCGAGUACAUGAAGCUGGAAUUACUAGUAAUCGCGGAUCAGCGCGCCGCGGUGAAUACGUUCCUGGGUCUUGUACACACCGCCCGUCACACCAUGGGAGUUGGUUCUACCUUAAGGCAAGGUUUUAAACCCUUGACUACGGUAUAGUCAGCGACUGGGGUGAAGUCGUAACAAGGUAACC